GUAUACCCCAGGGCUUAAGUGGCUGUGAAAACACAAGAUGAAGGCAUCAUUCAUUCACUCAAUUAUUUUUUUUUUUUUCCCUGUAAAUUAUGGGAUGUCAUCAAGUGGUGAUGGUCCCAAGAUAAGACAUGUGGUUCUCAGAAAUCUACAUCUUCUCAGCAAUCUGUCUUCUCAGCCCUCUGCAUCACAGCCAUCAACAUUAGUAGAGCUUUGCAGCUACUCUGAUUCCCUAACUCUUAUUCUGAGUCACCAUUAUCAGUCACAGCAGUUUACAUCUCAUCUCUCCACCAUGAAAAGUUUCAGAAGUGCCUGGCAGAUGGCAGGCCCGAGGACUGCCCUCCCAACCAACCACCUCUUUCACUCCCUGCUUACGAGAACAUCAGUCAACAUCUCACCCUAGGACUGGCUCCUGGCAACCCUCAACAGAUAUCUGCCUAGUGUACCCAUUUCAUUAAUAAAGCCCAGUUCU